CCACCCUAGCUCAGUCGGUAGAGCAGUCGCUCUCGUAAAGCGAAGGUCAUGAUUUCGAUUCUCAUGGUGGA
rnacentral:tRNA from 1 species